GCUAUUUAGGUUAGAGUUUGAUCCUGGCUCAGGACGAACGCUGGCGGCGUGCUUAACACAUGCAAGUCAAGGGGGCCCAGCAAUGGGCAACCGGCGAACGGGUGCGUAACACGUGAGCAACCUACCGAAAUGCGGGGGAUAGCCGGCCUAACGGCCGAGUAAUACCGCAUACGCUCUUUAUGAGGCAUUUCAUGGAGAGGAAACCUACGGGGUAUUUCGAGGGGCUCGCGGCCUAUCAGCUAGUUGGCGAGGUAACGGCUCACCAAGGCAACGACGGGUAGCUGGUCUGAGAGGAUGGCCAGCCACAUUGGGACUGAGAUACGGCCCAGACUCCUACGGGAGGCAGCAGUGGGGAAUCUUGCGCAAUGGCCUAACGGCUGACGCAGCGACGCCGCGUGUGGGAUGAAGCUCCUCGGAGUGUAAACCACUGUUGCCCGGGACGAAUAGCUCGAUUAAUCGAGCCUGACGGUACCGGGUGAGGAAGCACCGGCUAACUCCGUGCCAGCAGCCGCGGUAAUCGCC
rnacentral:rRNA from 1 species